UACGUAGGGGGCAAGCGUUGUCCGGAAUCAUUGGGCGUAAAGAGCUCGUAGGCGGUCUGUCGCGUCGGCUGUGAAAACCCGGGGCUCAACCCCGGGCCUGCAUUCGAUACGGGCAGACUAGAGUUCGGUAGGGGAGUCUGGAAUUCCUGGUGUAGCGGUGAAAUGCGCAGAUAUCAGGAGGAACACCGGUGGCGAAGGCGGGACUCUGGGCCGAUACUGACGCUGAGGAGCGAAAGCGUGGGGAGCAAACAGG
rnacentral:rRNA from 1 species